AGAGUUUGAUCCUGGCUCAGAACGAACGCUGGCGGCGUGGAUAAGACAUGCAAGUUGAACGCUAAUUUCAGUGUAGCAAUAUAUUGAAGUUGGAGUAGCGCAAGGGUGCGUAACACGUGGGUAAUUUGCCCUGAAGUUGGGGAUAACUCGCUGAAAAGGCGAGCUAAUACCGGAUGUGAAGUUUGGGUGGCAUCACCUGACCUUUAAAGCUGGGGAUCGUAAGACCUGGCGCUUUAGGAUAAGCCCGCGGCCUAUCAGCUAGUUGGUGAGGUAACGGCUCACCAAGGCUAAGACGGGUAGCUGGUCUGAGAGGACGACCAGCCACACUGGAACUGAGACACGGUCCAGACACCUACGGGUGGCAGCAGUCGAGAAUUUUUCUCAAUGGGCGCAAGCCUGAAGGAGCGACGCCGCGUGGGGGAUGAAGGGUUUCGAUCCGUAAACCCCUGUCAUUUGUGAACAAUGGUUAUCGUUUAAGAGAUGAUGACUUGAUAGUAAUGAAAGAGGAAGGGACGGCUAACUCUGUGCCAGCAGCCGCGGUAAUACAGAGGUCCCGAGCGUUGUUCGGAUUCACUGGGCGUAAAGGGUGCGUAGGUGGCCUGAAAAGUUUGAUGUGAAAGCUCAGGGCUUAACCCUGAAAUGGCAUUGAAUACUGUUGGGCUGGAGGUUUGGAGGGGGGACUGGAAUUCUUGGUGUAGCAGUGAAAUGCGUAGAUAUCAAGAGGAACACCAGUGGCGAAGGCGAGUCCCUGGACAACACCUGACACUGAGGCACGAAAGCUAGGGGAGCAAACAGGAUUAGAUACCCUAGUAGUCC
rnacentral:rRNA from 1 species